rnacentral:lncRNA from 1 species
GGAACAGCUAUAUGGUAGUACGUACUUUGUGCAUUUCUCAUGUUGGAAUGCUUUUGGACAUGUAAGAUUAUCUAGGAGCUUAGCUAGUUGCUUGUUUUUAGUUUAUUAUUCAGCUGUAAUAUUGUUUGUGGAAGCUUGAAUGAUAUAUAUGGAAGCUGAAAUGCAAUGUUUUAUGGUAUCAGUCAAUUUGUGCAACAGUUUCUUUUGUGAUGCUUGUGUGUGUAAAACUUGGACAACAAAGUCUGUCCACAUGAAAAUGCAACUGUUGUAUGAUUCUCAUCAAACAAGAAAGCAGAAUGCUAUAUCUAUUAUGUGAUACAACAGUCCAAAUAUAUCAGUUGUAGGUUAUUCAACGUCACACAACAGUAAAGAUAGGGAAUAAACCGUUGUAGCUUACUGAAAAAUACACAACGAUAGAAAUGAAAACCAACAGUUGUCUGAAAAGGUAAAAAUACAACGAAAAUGUUUUAUUGUUUGUUGUCUAAGUGGACUUGUCGAUGCCGCGCAUGGCAUCGAUCUGCGCAGCGACUUAUACAACGAAAGUAUUGAACUGUUGAGAAAAAUGUGAUCACACAACGGUGAUUUCCACACUUAUCUGAAGAUUCAAUCAGACAAGCCCGAGAUAUACAACGGAAAACCUAUAGUCACACAACGGUGUUCCAACAGAAGUAUGAGCAUUACGAUAGAGGGCAAGACAAGGGCAAACAACAUGACACCUCCCGGGAUAACAACCAGGGAUGUGGUUCAGACCGUCGCCAUAGUGGGCAGCGGGGACGGGACCAUCCUUAUCGGUCCCAAGAGCAGAGCCCCCAGCAGCAACAACGUCGCUCCUCCCCGUCACCCCGUUAUGAGGUCCACACUACCCUGACCACUACAUAUGAAGAUAUAUGGGCCAAGCAUAAAGACCUCAUGACACGACCCACCCCAAAUUUCAUCCUGAAACCCAGAGUAAGUCGUGCGGGGACCACCUCCAAGGAAAAUUUACCGAAAAAUCGGCUUAACCUCCCUUGAAAAUGGACUACCCUUCCUAAUAAUACCUGCAAACACUUUUGAAAAUUUAAAUCCAACCUUAAACUCCUGGAGCCUCCGUGCUCCCCAAAUCACAACACCACCCAAAUUAUUUACUAAUCUAAACAAAUCUCAUAUCCAACCAUUUAUAGGUUUAGAGCAACUCUAACAGGAAGAAAGGAAACAUAAUAAAUUAACAAACGGAAGCUAUAUGAUGACUAUGCCUCAUCCCCAUGUACGCCCGACCUCAACUAUGCAAUCCUGCAAACUGGGCAUUUUUAAAACGAAGAGCCCAAGGGAAAACAUUUGAAACAAGUUAGAGUGAGUGGACAAAAAUAAAUUAACGAAUAAAAUAUUUAUGUUUCCCUAAAUCAAUUUCCAAGGAAAAUCGAAUGCAUGCUGCAAGCGAUAAAACUUUUAUCUCAUAAAUGUCGAGCCUCUCAGGCUUUAUAAUAUAUGUAUGUAUUUACACACGUCCAUACUCCCUAUAUAAAUUCAUGGGUCUAUAUAGGGCUACUACGCUCGCGUCCAACGCUCACGUCACGUCUUAAUGCGGUGCUACACUACGCCAUUAAGGUGGACAGACGGGUGUAUAAAUAUGUGCCCAUACCCCCUAUAUGAAUUAAACACUCAUAUAGGGCUACUACACUCACGUCCAACGCUCACGUCACACCAUAAUGCGGCUAUAUGCUACGCCAUUAAGGUGGACAGACACAUAUGGCUAGCUAGCAUUUAUAUACAUACUCUCUCAUAAAUACAUAUUUAUAUCCACCGAAAAUCCCAUUUGCUCCUCGGCGGACGGCGGCGGGAGGACGGCCGGAAAAUUGGGCAGCGGGAGGAGCUCGGGGAGAGAGAAAACCGGGAAGAAAAAAAAAAAAGAGAAGGGAGAAAAUGGCUUUGGGCCUCCUCCCCCCAAACCGGUCCAACUUAAUACCCAUUUGAAAACAAACCCAACUCCAAAAAUAAAACACCCCGAAAAUAAUACCCGAAUAAAAAUUACCUUUUACUAGCUAAAAUUUACUAUUUUUACCGUUGUCAUAUUUUCUCCCACGAAUAAUUCCCCGAAAUUAAUCGUCUCUCAAAACACCUCUAGGGACCGAUUAAACUAUUACCUCAAUGAAGGAGACAGUAAAAUUCUUAUUAUAACCAAGCUAGUAAAUAAGGUAAAAAUUUAAGGGUCGGGAUGUGACAAUUCUCCCCUCCUUAUAAAAAUUUCGUCCUCGAAAUUUACAUACCUGACAAUCAAAAAGAUAGGGAUACUGCUGCCUCAUUUGCUCCUCUGAUUCCCAAGUAGCUUCCCCUACUUGAUGACUCCUCCACAGAACUUUAACAAGAGGAAAAAGAUUUGCAUCUAGCACUUGCUCCUUUAGGUCGAGAAUCUGAACCGGCUCCUCAUCAUAGGCCAAAACUUUUUUCCCAAUUAAUCGACUGCUCUCGCAACACAUGAGAGAGAUCGGCAAUAAACUUGCGAAGCAUGGAUACAUGAAACACAUUAUGUAUCCUGGAUAACUCUAGAGGCAAAACUAACUGAAACACAAGAGAGCCAACUUGAUCUAAAAACCCAUAAGGACCAAUAAAUCUCGGACCAAGCUUUUCACGUUACCAAAACGUACCACCCCUUUCCAAGGGGAUAAUUUCGAAAAACACUCAAACACUCACUUGAAACUCAUGGUCCUUCCUGCGGACAUCUUUAUAACUCUUCUGGCUACUAAGAGCUGCUUUGAGUCUAUCUCUGACUCUUUUAACCUUUUCAUUUCUCAAAGACUCUAAAUCCUUCGUUGAACUAUCACUAACGUUUGCACGUAAGUGAGUUCAGUGAUACCUGCUCCAGAGUACGAGUACCUGUAGGUAUGCACACUCUUUCCUGAGCAAUGGAAAUAGCUAACCCAAAUAAAACGCAUAAAUUUGCUAUCACCAUCGGGCUCAAAUCUCCUAACAUCACGCAACAACCUCGUCAUUACGUUGCUCACAGCUCGACAAUGAAGCCCACUUGCUAGGAAACUAAAAUUCACACAUUCCCACAUGCUCAUAGGGGUCAAAAUUAAGACCCGAUAAUUGAACAGAUUUUUAAGGAUGCACACACUACAACAAUCACUCCUAUUUCUGAGACACCUCGCAGAGUCUUUCGCGGAGCCAAAGCUCUCGCAAGUCCACAAGAUAACCUUGCUCUACCUAAAUGACCAGUCCACCAACAUAUGAUAACCUCGAUUGCCUAAAUAACAUUAUGAAAAGAUCAAUACCACGACACUUAGAUCUCUCCACCAAAACUAUUACAUUACCAUUUUAUGCACCACAAACUAGCAACUUAUGGGAAUUUCCAACUCUCUCCUGAUUCUGCUAUCUCCACUAUUAUUUACCACAAACCAGAAGAUAAUCUGAAGCAUGACUAACAUGUGGAAACUGGAUAUUCCUCCUUGCUCGCCAUAAACAAAAAACUAAUUAAUGCCCACGAAGAUUGGCACAGUCAAUUCAUGAUGCCAAACUUGACGUUGAAAUCCACAUAAAUAGAACACCUUCCUUAAGCAUUGACAAAAAUUUACAUCUCCAGCCAUGCUACUUAUUCGGGUGCAACUACGACCCCAAGAGCAGUAAUUAAAAGCACACGGCUCACGCUAGCCGUUCCAUAAGAAUGAUUCUAAAUACCAAAACCUUUGAAUCCGACAAAUACAUUUCCUUUUUUUUUUUUUUUUUUUUUUUAAUUUUACCUUUUACCUCUAACAACAAUAAAUCUGAUAGCAGAAAACAAUCUGAAAAUCAGAUAUGCUCAAGUCUCCUCCACAUCCUAGGGCCACGACUUCCCACCAAAAAGAUUCUUCGAAAACCGAGCUUGCAAUAACAUGCGACUAACAAAAGCAAAGAAAAAUUUUUAUACAAGACCCACUACUACACCUUGUGGUUCACCAACUAACGAAAACCAUGAAUUCAAGCAAGAAUCAAAACUCAUGGCUUAACUCAGCUCAAGCUCCAAAAGAAAUAAUUUAAAGCACACGAAAAGCAAGUCCUCUAACUUCGAGCUCAAAAGCUCCACAGAUCUCCGAUAUCCGCCAGAACCCGCUUCGAAAUCACACUAGAAACCUCCACUAAUCAUCCUGACACCAACAGAUAAACGCACAACCAAAAAGCAAAGACCUCCCAAACAAAAACUUGGAUCAAUGAGUGGUCCCACCACAAAACGAUCCUGAGAAGAGACGUUGAUCAACCUAUCAAUAAAUCUACUAUUCGCCAUAAUAAUCUCUUAAUAAACCUUGACUCGAAAAUCUUCUUGAGUCAACAGGGGAAAACCUUCUCCCAUAAUGCUACAUCAUGAAAUAUACCUACAAUAGAGACCAAAAUCAUCAGAAAACUUACUAUUCAUCAACUACUAACAUCCAUCAUUUCAAAAUAUAUUACCACUACCAUCUGGAUAAAAUGCUCUAAGGAUAGAAACAUAUCCAUAAUUAGCACUGCAGAAACCAGAACAUAUACCGCCAUAACCAAAAUUAUCCCAACAUGUUCCCAAUUGAUUUAUGUUGCGGAUAAAAUUGUCGGCAAAAUAGCCUUCAAUCAAGACUUAUCUAAAUUCACAUUUAGCUCUUUAUGCAGCAAUACCUUACCACCCAAUCACUAGCCACAAAUUUCCUAAAACCUUGAUUAACCCAAGACUAGGGUCCUCAACAACUCAUAUAGGUACCCCUUUGAAUUACCAUUGGAUACCUCACCUCAUCAUUUCAACUAACUUUUUCAUCAAUAGAAUACACCACUAUUUCGAACUUUCCUUUCAACUCAACUCUCUUAGAAGUCACGUAACUCAAUACCAAAAUCUCCCAUCAAUCAAUUUUUGACUCCAAUCUUGCCCACUAAAAAAAUGGACAACUCCAAGGCAUUAAUCAUCAACAUUUCACCCAACAUAUUUGCAGAAGAUGCUCACCUUAGCAUCUUAAUCUGAAACCUUAAUCUUAAUUAACCCAAUCAAUCAUUGGAUACCUGAAAGGAAUGCUAACAAGCUUUUUCGUUCCCCACUCGCAAAACAACUCCAACAAUUAAUAUCAAAGAUAUUAAAUUAAUGAACUUUGGAAUAGGUGCAAACUAUACACCUUUUCAAAACUCGAAGGAUGAACACUCAAGAGGUCAGCGUACUAAGGCAUAGUUUUAGAGAUGUAGACAUUUAUGGCACACUACUGUCCAUAAAUAAAAGAAGAACAACUACAUCACAACCCUAAUCAACACAUAGUGUCUUAAGCAUAUAAUGCUAAUAGAUCCGCCGCGGUUGGACAAUCACUCUAUAGACACUAAGUGCGACCAAGAAUAUAAGGUAGUACUAAAAAAAGAAAGGAAACGAAUAACCUAGUGCUCUGAUACCAACUGACACGACCCACCCCAAAUUUCACCCUGAAACCCAGAGUAAGUCGUGCGGGGACCACCUCCAAGGAAAAUUUACUGAAAAAUCGGCAUAACCUCCCUUGAAAAUGGACAACCCUUCCUAAUAAUACCUGCAAACACUUUUGAAAAUUUAAAUCCAACCUUAAACUCCUGGAGCCUCCGUGCUCCCCAAAUCACAACACCACCCAAAUUAUUUACUAAUCUAAACAAAUCUCAUAUCCAACCAUUUAUAGGUUCAGAGCAACUCUAACAGGAAGAAAGGAAACAUAAUAAAUUAACAAGCGGAAGCUAUAUGAUGACUAUGCCUCAUCCCCAUGUACGCCCGACCUCAACUAUGCAAUCCUGCAAACUGGGCAUUUUUAAAACGAAGAGCCCAGGGGAAAACAUUUGAAACACAUUAGAGUGAGUGGACAAAAAUAAAUUAACGAAUAAAAUAUUUAUGUUUCCCCAAAUCAAUUUCCAAGGAAAAUCGAAUGCAUGCUGCAAGCGAUAAAACUUUUAUCUCAUAAAUGUCGAGCCUCUCAGGCUUUAUAAUAUAUGUAUGUAUUUACACACGUCCAUACUCCCUAUAUAAAUUCAUGGGUCUAUAUAGGGCUACUACGCUCGCGUCCAACGCUCACGUCACGCCUUAAUGCGGUGCUACACUACGCCAUAAGGUGGACAGACGGGUGUAUAAAUAUGUGCCUAUACCCCUUAUAUGAAUUAAACACUCAUAUAGGGCUACUACGCUCGCGUCCAACGCUCACGUCACAUCAUAAUGCGGCUAUAUGCUACGCCAUUAAGGUGGACAGACACAUAGGGCUAGCUAGCUUUUAUAUACAUACUCUCUCAUAAAUACAUAUUUAUAUCCACCGAAAAUCCCAUUUUCGGUAACUCUCCAAGAGAAAUAAAAAUCGUCAAAAUUAAAAUGACGUCAAAAUGUUCCACAACAUUAAUUGUUCAUCUAUGAACUAUAGCAUGCAUUUUAUUUAAAACAAAAGUCCACUCACAACUCUAGGCAUAAGCCCGACGAAAUCCAAAUCGCCACUCCAGAGAGGUUUCCUUGAACCCUGGCACAAAUACAAAAUUAAUUUCCCAACUAAAACUCCAAUAUUUAAACAAAAUAGGCAAAAUUAACCGAGAGCCAUAACUACGCUCAUCAUUGCCUAACUUCAAUAUUCUUAAAUCGAAACGAUCCGAACUUAAAUAUCAUACUCGGCAGCCGUAAUUACAACCUCCCCAAAAAUACGACUUCGGAAAUUCAUAAACCUAUCCAAAACUCAUACAAAAAUUUCAUAACUCACUUCAACAAACUCCCCUUAAUAUUCUAAAUUUAAAACCCUAAAAAUCUUCCAAACAGUGGCGGCGGCUCCGCCGGUAGCGGCGGCCGGAGGCCGAUUCCGGCGACCUCCAAAUCCUACCAAAUUUUAACAGUAGCUUCCUCUCCACUCCCUCUACAACUUUCCUAACUAGCACAAACCCAAAAUCCAAGCCUAACUAGGUCAAACGAGCAAAAACAUCUAAAACACCCUAGAACUUCCACCUCUAAUUUCUCCUUACCUGAAGCGAACCGGAGUGAGCCCUUUUAGGGCAAGGCAGCUGGGUUGGAGACCUUCAAAACCGUACCAAGCUUGCCCGGAUUGGUGGCCGGAGGAGGGAGUUCCGGCGAAGUGAAGCUUUGGACAGUCGGACCUUUAGGGGGAGAGCACUCUUUCACGACGGAGCUAGGGAAGCUGCUACCGAUCCAGGGAGGUAGCUGGGAUGAUGGCCUACCGAACGGGACCGGUGCGGUAGNNNNN